rnacentral:lncRNA from 1 species
ACCAUGUAUCUAUCUAUGUUAUUGAGGAGCACCGUAGAUUAUGGAGCUAAUCUUAGAGCUAAUUUACAGCAACAGAAUAUUGUUAUUGAUGUAUAUUUUUUGUUAAUUUACAGCAACAGAAUAUUGUUAUUGAUGUAUAUCUUUUGUUUCCUUUAUUGUUGUAUAUGUCUUCCUGAUUUGUUGGUGUGUAAAUAUUAUGAGAGCACAUUGCUCUCCUUAAUGAAUAUAAUCCCCUUCGUGGCAAAGUUAACGUGGUAUCAGA